rnacentral:rRNA from 1 species
AACGAACGCUGGCGGCAGGCUUAACACAUGCAAGUCGAGCGCCCCGCAAGGGGGGCGGCAGACGGGUGAGUAACGCGUGGGAAUCUACCCAUCUCUACGGAACAACUCCGGGAAACUGGAGCUAAUACCGUAUACGUCCUUCGGGAGAAAGAUUUAUCGGAGAUGGAUGAGCCCGCGUUGGAUUAGCUAGUUGGUGGGGUAAUGGCCUACCAAGGCGACGAUCCAUAGCUGGUCUGAGAGGAUGAUCAGCCACACUGGGACUGAGACACGGCCCAGACUCCUACGGGAGGCAGCAGUGGGGAAUAUUGGACAAUGGGCGAAAGCUUGAUCCAGCCAUGCCGCGUGAGUGAUGAAGGCCCUAGGGUUGUAAAGCUCUUUCACCGGUGAAGAUAAUGACGGUAACCGGAGAAGAAGCCCCGGCUAACUUCGUGCCAGCAGCCGCCGUAAAAC